GCGUGGAGGACGAAGGCCUUCGGGUCGUAAACUCCUGUCAGUAGGGAAGAAAAGCCACCGGUCAAUACCCGGUGGCCAUGACGGUACCUGCAGAGGAAGCCCCGGCUAACUCCGUGCCAGCAGCCGCGGUAAUACGGAGGGGGCAAGCGUUAUUCGGAAUUAUUGGGCGUAAAGGGCGCGCAGGCGGCCUGGUAGGUCAAAGGUGAAAUCCCUCGGCUCAACCGAGGAACUGCCUUUGAAACCGUCAGGCUCGAGGCUGGGAGGGGGUAGCGGAAUUCCCGGUGUAGCGGUGAAAUGCGU
rnacentral:rRNA from 1 species